rnacentral:snoRNA from 1 species
UUGGUGAUGAGGUUGGAAUUGCUGAGGUGAUGAUGAGGAUGGUCGUUUUCUGAGAA